GGCCCCGUAGCUCAGCUGGAUAGAGCAUCGGUCUUCUAAACCGAUUGUCGCGUGUUCGAAUCACGCCGGGGUCA
rnacentral:tRNA from 1 species